AGCGGCGGACGGGUGAGUAACGCGUGGGUAACCUGCCCUAUACACACGGAUAACAUGCCGAAAGGUAUGCUAAUACGAGAUAAUAUAAGAGAUUCGCAUGGAUUUCUUAUCAAAGCUGAGGCGGUAUAGGAUGGACCCGCGUCUGAUUAGCUAGUUGGUAAGGUAACGGCUUACCAAGGCGACGAUCAGUAGCCGACCUGAGAGGGUGAUCGGCCACAUUGGAACUGAGACACGGUCCAAACUCCUACGGGAGGCAGCAGUGGGGAAUAUUGCACAAUGGGCGAAAGCCUGAUGCAGCAACGCCGCGUGAGUGGUGAAGGCCUUCGGGUCGUAAAACUCUGUCCUCAAGGAAGAUAAUGACGGUACUUGAGGAGGAAGCCCCGGCUAACUACGUGCCAGCAGCCGCGGUAAUACGUAGGGGGCUAGCGUUAUCCGGAUUUACUGGGCGUAAAGGGUGCGUAGGUGGUCUCUUAAGUCAGGAGUGAAAGGCUACGGCUUAACCGUAGUAAGCUCUUGAAACUGGGAGACUUGAGUGCAGGAGAGGAAAGUGGAAUUCCUAGUGUAGCGGUGAAAUGCGUAGAUAUUAGGAGGAACACCAGUAGCGAAGGCGGCUUUCUGGACUGUAACUGACACUGAGGCACGAAAGCGUGGGGAGCAAACAGGAUUAGAUACCCUGGUAGUCCACGCCGUAAACGAUGAGUACUAGGUGU
rnacentral:rRNA from 1 species